AUUGAACGCUGGCGGCAUGCCUUACACGUGCAAGUCGAACGGCAGCACGGGAGCAAUCCUGGUGGCGAGUGGCGAACGGGUGAGUAAUAUAUCGGAACGUGCCCAGUCGUGGGGGAUAACGUAGCGAAAGCUACGCUAAUACCACAUACGAUCUAUGGAUGAAAGCGGGGGAUCGCAAGACCUCGCGCGAUUGGAGCGGCCGAUAUCAGAUUAGGUAGUUGGUGAGGUAAAGGCUCACCAAGCCGACGAUCUGUAGCUGGUCUGAGAGGACGACCAGCCACACUGGGACUGAGACACGGCCCAGACUCCUACGGGAGGCAGCAGUGGGGAAUUUUGGACAAUGGGCGCAAGCCUGAUCCAGCAAUGCCGCGUGCAGGAUGAAGGCCUUCGGGUUGUAAACUGCUUUUGUACGGAGCGAAAAGGCUUCCACUAAUACUGGGGGCUCAUGACGGUACCGUAAGAAUAAGCACCGGCUAACUACGUGCCAGCAGCCGCAGUAAUAC
rnacentral:rRNA from 1 species